UCGAGGAUCUUCGGCAAUGGGCGCAAGCCUGACCGAGCGACGCCGCGUGUGCGAUGAAGGCCUUCGGGUUGUAAAGCACUGUCGAGGGGGAGGAAAGCCGCAAGGCUUGACCUAUCCCUGGAGGAAGCACGGGCUAAGUUCGUGCCAGCAGCCGCGGUAAGACGAACCGUGCGAACGUUGUUCGGAAUCACUGGGCUUAAAGGGCGCGUAGGCGGGCGGUUUCGUCGGGGGUGAAAUCCUGCCGCUCAACGGCAGCACUGCCCCCGAUACGGGCCGUCUCGAGUGAGGUAGGGGCAUGUGGAACUUCCGGUGGAGCGGUGAAAUGCGUAGAUAUCGGAAGGAACGCCGGUGGCGAAAGCGACGUGCUGGACCUCUUCUGACGCUGAGGCGCGAAAGCCAGGGGAGCAAACGGGAUUAGAUACCCCCGUAGUCC
rnacentral:rRNA from 1 species